rnacentral:lncRNA from 1 species
UGGUGCAUGUGAAUGUAUUGAAGAAAAAUUCGAGUUCAAACCCAAAAGGUGGCAUUCCGGCAAUCUUUCUAAAAUAAUCCCCUAGAAAUAAACAUUGCUUAAAUUAUAUGAAACAAGACAUUUCUUGCUUUUGUUUCAUCCACAGCUAUUCAAAUACAGCUUCUCUUCUGAGGCCCAUGGUUUAAACUUCGAAUAAUGCCCUUUCUCUAGUGUUAAUU